rnacentral:rRNA from 1 species
AACGAACGCUGGCGGCGCGUCUUAAGCAUGCAAGUCGAACGGCAAGAGAGGAGCUUGCUUCUCUCCUAGAGUGGCGGACUGGUGAGGAACACGUGGGUAAUCUACCCUUAAGAUGGGGAUAGCUGCUAGAAAUAGCAGGUAAUACCGAAUACACUCGGCAUAUAACAAGAGGGGUUGAGGAAAGGAAGCUACGGCUUCGCUUGAGGAUGAGCUUGCGUCCCAUUAGCUAGUUGGUGAGGUAAAGGCCCACCAAGGCGACGAUGGGUAUCCGGCCUGAGAGGGUGAACGGACACAUUGGGACUGAGAGACGGCCCAAACUCCUACGGGAGGCAGCAGCUAAGAAUAUUCCGCAAUGGACGGAAGUCUGACGGAGCGACGCCGCGUGGAUGAAGAAGGCUGAAAAGUUGUAAAAUCCUUUUGUUGAUGAAGAAUAAGGGUGAGAGGGAAUGCUCAUCUGAUGACGGUAAUCGACGAAUAAGCCCCGGCUAAUUACGUG